rnacentral:lncRNA from 1 species
AGAAAUUGUUAAGAACUAUAAAUACCUUGGUGUUAUAUUCUCUAGAAAUGCAUCUUUUUUUGCAACUAGAAAAUAUCUUAGAGAUCAAGCUACUAAAGCUAUGUAUUGUGUUAUUAAGAAGUGUAGAUCAAACCAUCUAUCUAUAGAAUGCCAGCUCGAUAUGUUUGACAAAGCUGUUUUACCUAUACUCUUAUAUGGGGCCGAAAUCUGGGGAUACGAAAAUCUUGACAUUUUGGAAAGAGUACAUUUGAGUUUUUGUAAGCAUGUUUUACGGUUAAAAAGAUCGACUCCAAAUUUUAUGGUUUACGGGGAAUUGGGAAGAUAUCCGAUUUCUUUAUACGUUAAAUUACGGAUGAUAAAAUUUUGGUGCAACC